AUGAUGAUCCGGAAGUACAUCGUUCCUGGGCAGCAACUAGCUGUUGGAAAGCUUGAAUAUAAAAGUAUAAUUGAAGACAAGUUGGAAAUAUCCUGCCUAUAUGAUGAUGCUGUCAUGGAGUUGAUGUGGGGCCUGAAGAACAGCAUCCAGUAUUUGGUGCCUUCAGAAAAGUUGGAGCUGACUAAGGAUGAUCGCCUCCGUAUGAGUAAAGGAAUGAAAGUCGUCCUUGAAUAUUUUGACUUAAAAGUCGAACCAGAGAUGGUUAAUGAGUAUAUUAUUGAGACAGCAGGUGCUGUGUAUAGUUGUGAUCAUUGUGUGAACAAAAAUGCUAAGAACUUGAGGGCUGCUGGUGAGCACCUAAAGAAGAUUUCAAACAUUGACUCUCAGAAUUGGUGUUUAAUUAAACUAGCGACUGCUCUCAAGAUAAUAUGUUACCCUGGAGAGGAACUUCCUGGCAUUCCUCUCGAGGUAAAUUAUACUAAUAUUUUGCAAAACUUUUUUUGGCUUGUUUCUGUACAUUUUUAA
rnacentral:rRNA from 1 species